CUUAACACAUGCAAGUCGAGGGGCAGCAUGGUCUUAGCUUGCUAAGGCCGAUGGCGACCGGCGCACGGGUGAGUAACACGUAUCCAACCUGCCGUCUACUCUUGGACAGCCUUCUGAAAGGAAGAUUAAUACAAGAUGGCAUCAUGAGUCCGCAUGUUCACAUGAUUAAAGGUAUUCCGGUAGACGAUGGGGAUGCGUUCCAUUAGAUAGUAGGCGGGGUAACGGCCCACCUAGUCUUCGAUGGAUAGGGGUUCUGAGGGGAAGGUCCCCCACAUUGGAACUGAGACACGGUCCAAACUCCUACGGGAGGCAGCAGUGAGGAAUAUUGGUCAAUGGGCGAGAGCUUGAACCAGCCAAGUAGCGUGAAGGAUGACUGCCCUAUGGGUUGUAAACUUCUUUUAUAAAGGAAUAAAGUCGGGUAUGGAUACCCGUUUGCAUGUACUUUAUGAAUAAGGAUCGGCUAACUCCGUGCCAGCAGCCGCGGUAAUACGGAGGAUCCGAGCGUUAUCCGGAUUUAUUGGGUUUAAAGGGAGCGUAGAUGGAUGUUUAAGUCAGUUGUGAAAGUUUGCGGCUCAACCGUAAAAUUGCAGUUGAUACUGGAUAUCUUGAGUGCAGUUGAGGCAGGCGGAAUUCGUGGUGUAGCGGUGAAAUGCUUAGAUAUCACGAAGAACUCCGAUUGCGAAGGCAGCCUGCUAAGCUGCAACUGACAUUGAGGCUCGAAAGUGUGGGUAUCAAACAGGAUUAGAUACCCUGGUAGUCCACACGGUAAACGAUGAAUACUCGCUGUUUGCGAUAUACUGCAAGCGGCCAAGCGAAAGCGUUAAGUAUUCCACCUGGGGAGUACGCCGGCAACGGUGAAACUCAAAGGAAUUGACGGGGGCCCGCACAAGCGGAGGAACAUGUGGUUUAAUUCGAUGAUACGCGAGGAACCUUACCCGGGCUUAAAUUGCAGAUGAAUUACGGUGAAAGCCGUAAGCCGCAAGGCAUCUGUGAAGGUGCUGCAUGGUUGUCGUCAGCUCGUGCCGUGAGGUGUCGGCUUAAGUGCCAUAACGAGCGCAACCCUUGUUGUCAGUUACUAACAGGUUCCGCUGAGGACUCUGACAAGACUGCCAUCGUAAGAUGUGAGGAAGGUGGGGAUGACGUCAAAUCAGCACGGCCCUUACGUCCGGGGCUACACACGUGUUACAAUGGGGGGUACAGAGGGCCGCUACCACGCGAGUGGAUGCCAAUCCCCAAAACCUCUCUCAGUUCGGACUGGAGUCUGCAACCCGACUCCACGAAGCUGGAUUCGCUAGUAAUCGCGCAUCAGCCACGGCGCGGUGAAUACGUUCCCGGGCCUUGUACACACCGCCCGUCAAGCCAUGGGAGCCGGGGGUACCUGAAGUGCGUAACCGCGAGGAGCGCCCUAGGGUAAAACUGGUGACUGGGGCUAAGUC
rnacentral:rRNA from 1 species